UCGGACGUGGUGCACGGUGCACACCUGUUACAACUAUGCUCUCUUCACUGAAUCUCAACACAGGAAGCCCGGGUUCGACUCCCGGCGUCUGAA